rnacentral:rRNA from 1 species
GGAUAACUCCGGGAAACCGGGGCUAAUACCGGAUGGUUGUUUGAACCGCAUGGUUCAAACAUAAAAGGUGGCUUCGGCUACCACUUACAGAUGGACCCGCGGCGCAUUAGCUAGUUGGUGAGGUAACGGCUCACCAAGGCAACGAUGCGUAGCCGACCUGAGAGGGUGAUCGGCCACACUGGGACUGAGACACGGCCCAGACUCCUACGGGAGGCAGCAGUAGGGAAUCUUCCGCAAUGGACGAAAGUCUGACGGAGCAACGCCGCGUGAGUGAUGAAGGUUUUCGGAUCGUAAAGCUCUGUUGUUAGGGAAGAACAAGUACCGUUCGAAUAGGGCGGUACCUUGACGGUACCUAACCAGAAAGCCACGGCUAACUACGUGCCAGCAGCCGCGGUAAUACGUAGGUGGCAAGCGUUGUCCGGAAUUAUUGGGCGUAAAGGGCUCGCAGGCGGUUUCUUAAGUCUGAUGUGAAAGCCCCCGGCUCAACCGGGGAGGGUCAUUGGAAACUGGGGAACUUGAGUGCAGAAGAGGAGAGUGGAAUUCCACGUGUAGCGGU